GACGAACGCUGGCGGCGUGCUUAACACAUGCAAGUCGAACGGAAAGGCCCUGCUUUUGUGGGGUGCUCGAGUGGCGAACGGGUGAGUAACACGUGAGUAACCUGCCCUUGACUUUGGGAUAACUUCAGGAAACUGGGGCUAAUACCGGAUAGGAGCUCCUGCUGCAUGGUGGGGGUUGGAAAGUUUCGGCGGUUGGGGAUGGACUCGCGGCUUAUCAGCUUGUUGGUGGGGUAGUGGCUUACCAAGGCUUUGACGGGCAGCCGGCCUGAGAGGGUGACCGGCCACAUUGGGACUGAGAUACGGCCCAGACUCCUACGGGAGGCAGCAGUGGGGAAUAUUGCACAAUGGGCGGAAGCCUGAUGCAGCAACGCCGCGUGCGGGAUGACGGCCUUCGGCUUGUAAACCGCUUUCGCCUGUGACGAAGCGUGAGUGACGGUAAUGGGUAAAGAAGCACCGGCUAACUACGUG
rnacentral:rRNA from 1 species